GUCACCUACCUUCCCUCCACCUCUCCACCCGCCCGUUUGACCCCGUCCCCUGCUCGCUUUCCCCUUCCGUUCCCCUCCCCCACCUGCUCCUCCGCCAGCCGCCCCGUCCUAGGUUUAGCGCGCUCCCCAGAACCCAACCGCCUCCCUCCGGGCCGCCCGGAGAGAGCAGUUGCCUGGCCGCACGCCGCGGGCCCCCGCAUGGUCGCCUCCGCGACGGCGUGAGGGCUGCGCGCGCUCGUGGUGUGCAUCGGGGAGAUAGAGAGAUAGAUAGAUGAGACCCUCCGCCGCUGCCGGCCGCAGCGGCGCUGUGAUGAGGGCCGCUGCUGUGGGGCUCGUGCUGGUCGGCGUCGCCCUAGCCCCGCCGCUGGCCGCGGCGCUGCGGCCGCUCCGGGAGCGCGUCGCGUCCGCCGGAGCCUCCUCCUCCGCCGGUUCGUGGGGCGAUGAGCACGCCUUCUUCAAAAGGGAUGAUAAUGAUAUAGGCCCCUAUUCAUGGAAUAUUACGGGAACGUAUAAAGGGAGCUGGGCCUUUGCUGGUGCCACAAAUGGUUCAUCUAGGUUUCUUGAGUUUGUGAAAUCUAAAGGUGAUUCGGUUCUGGAAUUGUUGAGCACUCCAACAAAGAUAAGCGGGGUGCAUUAUGUUCAGGGAUCAAUUACAUUCCAUGAUGUCAUUGACAAUGCCCACGAUCAUGGAGUGGCUCAAAUAAGGUUGGAAGGAGUGUACAUAUGGCCUUUUAGACAACUUCGGAUGGUAGCAAACAAUGGUGCAGAUGGUGAGCCACUUCAAGAAGAGGAUUACUUUUUGUCAAAUCCAUACCAUUUGCUCCGGAUUUUCUCCUCUCAAGUAUUCCAAGAAUCUUCUGAAGAGAAGAACCGAAGGAAGAAUUCUCUCACAUAUGACAUGGAGAAACACUGUAACACAGAAAUUGCUGCUAAGGUGGUUCGCGUGUCAUCUAACCCAAAUGAUGGCGAGCAUGAGAAGUACCGGUUGGAGGGUUUGAUGGAGAGCCCAGCCGUCGAUGAUGAUGGAGAGUGCUUCUCACCUAUCUUACUAAAUGCGACUUCUUUGAAUGUUGAAGUCUAUUACAACAAAGCAGUCAACUACACACUGAUGGUCACUUUUAUCUCUUUCCUUCAAGUUUUGCUGUUGAUUAGACAAAUGGAGCAUAGCAACACUCAAUCUGGAGCUGCUAAGGUUUCUAUUUUAAUGAUUGGCCAACAAGCUAUUAUGGAUGCAUAUCUCUGUCUGCUCCACCUGACUGCUGGGAUAUUGGUUGAGUCGCUGUUUAACGCCUUCGCAACGGCUGCAUUCUUCAAAUUUGUUGUAUUUUCUAUUUUUGAAAUGAGGUACCUUCUCGCCAUAUGGAAAGCAAGUAGGCCUUUAAACAGUGAAGGUUGGGAGAUAAUGAGGCGAGAACUGUCUGUUCUUUACAGCCGCUUUUAUGGUAUUCUUUUGGGAGGAAUCCUUCUAAUGUAUGAGUUGCACAAUUUCUUACGCCCACUUCUUCUCCUGAUGUACUCCUUUUGGGUACCCCAAAUUGUUACAAAUGUCAUCAAGGAUACAAGAAAACCUCUGCACCCACAGUAUAUUUUAGGCAUGACAGUUACCCGCCUUGCUAUUCCACUGUAUAUAUUUGGUUGCCCUAGUAACUUCAUGCGCAUUGAGCCUGACAAGAAAUGGUGCAUAGCUGUUACGGCAUUCAUGGGUAUCCAAGCAGCAGUGCUUUUGCUUCAGCACUAUCUUGGUUCUCGCUGCUUUAUUCCUCGCCAGAUCCUGCCUGAGAAAUACUGCUACCACAGGAAGGUUGAGGAUAGCACGAAUCAGCCCAUUGAUUGUGUUAUUUGCAUGACUACAAUCGAUCUUACCCAAAGAACAAGUGAAUACAUGGUGGCACCUUGUGAGCAUAUAUUCCACUCAGGCUGUUUACAACGAUGGAUGGACAUCAAGAUGGAGUGCCCAACUUGCAGGCGCUCCCUACCGCCAGCUUAGAUGAGGGCUUUGUACCAUAUAGUUAACAAGAAGUAGGUAGCUCAGCUUAUACAAGGUGGAAACUGAGGUACAAUAAGGCGAGGCUGCAACUGCAUGAAAGCUAUCGACAUAACUGUAGAGAAGUUUUAUGCUAUUGAUUUUAAGUGGUGUUGUGUUGUACGAACUAUUGUAUCAAGUGUCCCACGGAGAAAUCGUCCUCAGCUGCCCUUGCGGUUUUCACUGUCGCAUGCCUUUGCCUGCUACGAGUAUUUCAGUCCUGCAUUUUGGUUUGAGCGCUGUACAAAGGGUGUUGCCAAUGUGAAAGAGUUCCAGAUGUGAUGCAUUCCUCACUGUUCCUGCCUUGCUGGAUGUGGCUGAUACAUUCCGCGACACGAGCAGGGUCUGUUUCUGUCAGUGUCAUGGGACUCAACUCUUCCAACCAUGGCACCAUGGCAAAUGCUGUACGUCCGGUCCUGACAUUUCCAGGUUCGAGAUGUGCGAGGUGAAGGGCAGUUCUGCAGCUGGUUGGUUGGUUGAAUGCGAUAUUGAGGCGGAAUGUUUGUUUCGGAGAAGCACAAAGUUCCAACUAAAUAUAUUACUCUCAUUAAAUAUAUACAAGCAUGUGAUGAUGUU